rnacentral:rRNA from 1 species
GACGAACGCUGGCGGCGUGCCUAAUACAUGCAAGUCGAACGCAGUGGGGACGGGUGAGUAACACGUGGGUAACCUCCCAUCAGAGGGGAUAAACCUUGGAAAAAGGUGCUAAACCCGAUACGGAUGGAUGGACCAGGGGUGCAUUAGCUAGUUGGUGGGGUAACGGCCCACCAAGGCGACGAUGCAUACCCGACCUGAGAGGAUGAUCGGCCACACUGGGACUGAGACACGGCCCAGACUCCUACGGGAGGCAGCAGUAGGGAAUCUUCGGCAAUGGGCGAAAGUCUGACCGAGCAACGCCGCGUGAGUGAAGAAGGUUUUCGGAUCGUAAAACUCUGUUGUUAGAGAAGCGGUAUCUAACCAGAAAGCCACGGCUAACUACGUGCCAGCAGCCGCGGUAAUAC